CUUAAUAAAAUAUUUAGACCUAAGAGACAUGUAAAAAUAACCUAAUAAAACAAUUGGACAUAAGAGACCUCUAAAAAUAAACAGUGCGUACACAAUUCAGAAACAAAAUUCAAGAAACCAAAAAGAAUUAGCAAUCCUGUUUCUCUGUGAGAAUUUCCAGUUAAGUACUUUCCAAAUUAAUAUCUGGGAAGAAUUCAUGGAAAUAUGGAUGGAAUCCCAAUACAUUGAGAGAAUUAUUU